rnacentral:rRNA from 1 species
UACGGAGGGGGCAAGCGGUGUUCGGAAUUACUGGGCGGAAAGGGCGCGCAGGCGGCUGCUCAAGUCAGGCGUGAAAGGCCUGGGCUCAACCCGGGAAUUGCGCUUGAGACUGGGCUGGCUUGAGUGCGGGAGAGGAUGGUGGAAUUCCCAGUGUAGAGGUGAAAUGCGUAGAUAUUGGGAGGAACACCAGUGGCGAAGGCGGCUCACUGGACCGGAACUGACGCUGAUGCGCGAAAGCGUGGGGAGCAAACGGG